CAGAGAUGACACCAGUUCGGACGAUCUCUAGUAUAAGAUUCCAUUCAAAUAAUUCACAGAUGUUUUCUCCUGGCAAGCAGGAAAACAACGCAAAGGCUAAGGCUAGGGGCGGCCCCACUAUGCUGCAUGUUUGUGGGAAGCUCUCUUUGCUGGUGCUUUCAGCUGUGUGUUCUGCAUGUGCAUCUCCACGUGGAACUAGAAUUAUUCUUCUUCUACGGAUAUGAAAAAUGAGGCUCAGAGAGGGUCAUGGCUCAAGAUCAAAACUCUACUGUGCUGCAGAUUCCAGGCCCUGUGCUCUUAACCUCGACACUGGACUGCCUCAUUUAAGAAAGAAGCCAUCUGGAUCUGCACAAGAUAAAGAGAACUAGUCAAAGGGCAAAAUA